AUUGAACGCUGGCGGCAGGCCUAACACAUGCAAGUCGAGCGGAUGAAGGGAGCUUGCUCCUGGAUUCAGCGGCGGACGGGUGAGUAAUGCCUAGGAAUCUGCCUGGUAGUGGGGGAUAACGUCCGGAAACGGGCGCUAAUACCGCAUACGUCCUGAGGGAGAAAGUGGGGGAUCUUCGGACCUCACGCUAUCAGAUGAGCCUAGGUCGGAUUAGCUAGUUGGUGGGGUAAAGGCCUACCAAGGCGACGAUCCGUAACUGGUCUGAGAGGAUGAUCAGUCACCCUGGAACUGAGACACGGUCCAGACUCCUACGGGAGGCAGCAGUGUGGAAUAUUGGACAAUGGGCGAAAGCCUGAUCCAGCCAUGCCGCGUGUGUGAAGAAGGUCUUCGGAUUGUAAAACACUUUAAGUUGGGAGGAAGGGCAGUAAGUUAAUACCUUGCUGUUUUGACGUUACCAACAGAAUAAGCCCCGGCUAACUUCGUG
rnacentral:rRNA from 1 species